CAAUAGCGUAUAUUAAAGUUGUUGCAGUUAAAAAGCUCGUAGUUGAAUUUUUGCUUGCCGCCGAUGUCGGAACUUCCGUACGUUCGGCGGCGUGCAUCCUUGGGUGGAACCUGUGUGGCAUUAGGUUGUCGUGCAGGGGAUGCUCAUCGUUUACUGUGAAAAAAUUAGAGUGUUCAAAGCAGGCUUACGCCGUUGAAUAUAUUAGCAUGGAAUAAUAAGAUAGGACCUUGGUACUAUUUUGUUGGUUUGCGCACCGAGGUAAUGAUUAACAGGGACAGUUGGGGGUAUUCGUAUUCCAUUGUCAGAGGUGAAAUUCUUGGAUUUCUGGAAGACGAACUACUGCGAAAGCAUUUGCCAAGGAUGUUUNCAUUGA
rnacentral:rRNA from 1 species